rnacentral:lncRNA from 1 species
AUGCGGUUUCUCCACAGGCGGACGGCGGAAGCAACGGAUCUUUGGAAGGCCUGGGGGCCUUUGGUUGCACAAACUGAGCAGAACUCCCAGUUCAAAGGAGUUGCAAUCCCCGAGCCUUCCGCCCUGGGGUGGGUUCCACGCGGCAGUCUCGCUUCCUUCCUCGUCACGGGGCGUCCCUCCCAGUUACAGGAGCCCAGGGAGCGGCCACCGGCAAGGAGCGGCCCGGCGGUGCGCGGGGGACAGGCCAGCGCGUGCGGAAGCCCUGCUCGGCCAGCCGCGGCCGUCCGCUUGUCCAGGCCCCACGCUCGGCGCAAAGCUCUGUCGGGAAGUAUUGAUGGGAAAGGGGCGCCGAGCCGCGCCCUGUCCCGCCCCACUCAGGGACCCCGGGCCGCAGAUUCGCUCCUGUGAGUUUGGGGAAGACCCUCCAGGACAGCGCUCCACCGGCCCUGACCUGGCACCGCGCCUCGGCUCCCGGGAUCCGGACCCGCCCAGCGGCAGAAAGGUAAGCGCUCGGAAACCCGUGCGAGGAGCGCGGCCCUUCGGGUCAGGACUCAGGCAGUGGCCAGAAGGACCAGGGCGCAGGGCUCUGGGGUGCAACCUGGAAGGAGAAAGGUGCACUUUCCCGUGGCUCUCGGAUGCAAAUACGCACCACCCAGAGCCCCCUUCUCUGCUGUCCCACCCGCGUCCUGCUCCUCUCAGCGCAAGGCUGAGGGAAGUUCAGGUGCUGUUGUGUUUUAGUUAAGGAGAAAGCACAGCUAGCGGGGCCUGUGUGGCUGGGAAGCUGCCCCGCAGCUGUGCUGUGAGGUUCCCCGUGAGUGCUGCUGCCCCCUCUUCACACUCCUAGAAAGGGCAGGGGAGAAGGAAGGGCCAACCCAGCGCUGACUGCUCCGCUCCAGAGAGCGGAACUUUCCCUACAUCUCUGCUUUUAUAGCCCUUGGAGGGAGGAGUAGGGGGUAGGAGUGCUCAGUCCCUUGGCUCUCUGGGCCGCAAGCCUGGCAACUGUCAAUAGCCACACCAGUUGUCCUGACAAAUGGGGUCUUCUUGGUGACCGGAGUCCACAAAAAGAGACCUUGGGGAAACAUCAUCCCUCUCCAACCAGUACAGGAGAGGCCUGUCUCACCUACCUAAGGUUCAGAGAGUACUUGUCAACCCUAGCCUGCAGAGAAUACUCCCCUUCCUUGAACCCUUGACUUUCUCCAUGCCCAUCAGUGUGUAAGUCUGGGUUCAGCUAACUCAAAAAAAUUCACUUAUUGCAGGGAUACUAGGAUAGCAGGAAGGCUGAAGAAUUAAGAAAAAGCCAUUUUAGGAAACACCACAGGGUCAAAGGGCAGGAAAGCCUGGUUAGGGCACUGCUGCGGGCACGCCAUCACUAGACUCUUGGCAUGGGUAUCACUGUGUGUAAUUUCUCAUCUCCUUCCAUCAUUACGACCUUUACUCCCUCAAGAUUCCAAGGGUUCUGUGGGAUCAUUUGAUUGGCUAAAUCUAGGACACAUGUCCAGCUGUCAGAGAUGGGGAGAGAGCAAACAUAGGUUUGUUCUCUUAGGUUUCUAUGUGAAAAGCAAAAAGUCCUCCACCAAUUACCUCAUCUGGGGACUGUCUCCCAAAUCAGAGUGUUCAGAUGCUAGGUUUAAAAAGAAGAAAAUGAUAGUGUCAGGGGGCACGUGGGUGGCUCAGUCAGUUAAGCGUCUGCCUUCACCUCAGGUCAUGAUCUCCGGGUCCCAAGCCCGGAGUGGGGCUCCCUGCUCAGUGGUGAGUUGGCUUCUCCCUCUGCCCCUCCCCCCACUCAUGUUCUCUUCGGCUCACUCUGCUCUCUCUCUCUCUCUCACAUAAAUAAAUAAGUAAUCUUAAAAAAAAUGAUAAUGUCCCUACAGUCCACCCCUCUGGCUCAACACCCACAUGUGCCUUUCUUUCUGAAUUUACAGUCCUUUCCCUCACAAAAUGCUCCCAUCCUACAUGUACUGCUGUCACUCCUACAGACUGUAUUCAAGUUGCUCCCAAGGAGACAAACCUCAUAGCUCUUGGGUCAGGAUCUUUGGUCUGUUCUCCUUCUAGUUCCGUUGGAAUCCUGUCUCAGUAUUCUGCAACCUGUGGACUAGACCAAAUUAUAAGGUUAAUCGUCAUCAUACAUAAUAAUACAACAGCAAGGGAAUAAAAACUGGAAAAAUGCAAAUAAGUUAAAAUAUACAAGCAUCUACCAUGACAAAGGUUAGGAGGUGAAAGCCCCUAUCUUUCUUUCUGCAAUAUGAGAUUCUAUUUUGUAUUUAUGACAUCCCCCCUCCUUUUUCCAUGCCAUGUUUCUUUUGCCUUCAGCCAGCACCUGAGCGGGUUGGUGUUCUCUACUCAGGGAAGAAACAAGCCUUUGUUCCUGGGGAACUGAGCCCUUGAUGGUCCUGCCUAUGAAGGCUGUGAUGGCCUUCCAUUAAAUUUUACCACUGGACAUAAUAGCACUGGGAGGCACCCCAAAGGAGCCCCUUGGUUCCACGAAUACUUCUUGUUGCCUGUUGCAUAAAGAUCCUCUUGACCUUGCUAUUCAGAAUUAAUCACCUUGGCCAAUCCCACUAUUCCCCCUUUAACAUGUCCAUCCAUUGGCAAGAGCAACCAGAAGUGACCAGGCAGCAAUUUCUGCUUCUAAUUCAGUAAAAAUAUUGUUGUUUCUCCUGGUAGGAGCUUUCUUCCCUCCAGGACUUUCUAACCUUAAUCCAGCAGAAACAAGAGUCACAGGAAAUGAGGGGGUCAUUGGGUACUUGUAGAAAGUGCUACCCCUCUUUCUGGACCCAUAUGAUUGGGCUCCGGGAGAAAUAACAUCCUGAUAUUAAUCCCUAGUUCAAACCACAUACCCCCUUCUUGAAGUACUGCACCCCACCACCACAAAAUUCUAAGUUGUUCUAACAAAGACUCCAAAAACACAAUGGCUCAAACAAGAUAAAAGUUUAUUUUUGUCUUACAACUAGGGAAGAAAGGUAGCUCUGCUCUGUGAACACAUCUAGAGACCCAAGCUAAUGAGGAAACUCUGACAGCCUUAACAGGUGCCUUCCAAAGUUGUCAGUCCCGGCCAGCAGGAAGGAAAGCGUGUAGCAACUCCAAGGAAAGCUCUUUAAGAAGAUGACUUGAAAGCUGUACCUAUCAAUUCCACCCACAUUCCAUGGAGAACCAGCCACAAAGGAGGCUGGGAGACGUAGUCCCUGGGUGGACAAGCGGAGAAGGGAGAAGGGGUUUGAGGGGACA